GACGAACGCUGGCGGCGUGCUUAACACAUGCAAGUCGAACGGUAAGGCCCUUCGGGGUACACGAGUGGCGAACGGGUGAGUAACACGUGGGUGAUCUGCCCUGCACUUCGGGAUAAGCCUGGGAAACUGGGUCUAAUACCGGAUAGGACCACUGCCUGCAUGGGUGGUGGUGGAAAGCUUUUGCGGUGUGGGAUGGGCCCGCGGCCUUUCAGCUGGUUGGUGGGGUGAUGGCCUACCAAGGCGGCGACGGGUAGCCGGCCUGAGAGGGUGACCGGCCACACUGGGACUGAGAUACGGCCCAGACUCCUACGGGAGGCAGCAGUGGGGAAUAUUGCACAAUGGGCGCAAGCCUGAUGCAGCGACGCCGCGUGAGGGAUGACGGCCUUCGGGUUGUAAACCUCUUUCAGCACCGACGAAGCGCAAGUGACGGUAGGUGCAGAAGAAGGACCGGCCAACUACGUGCCAGCCGCCGCUGUAA
rnacentral:rRNA from 1 species